GUCCACGCUGUAAACGUUGGGCGCUAGGUGUGGGGACCCUCUCCGGGUUUCUGCGCCGCAGCUAACGCAUUAAGCGCCCCGCCUGGGGAGUACGGCCGCAAGGCUAAAACUCAAAGGAAUUGACGGGGGCCCGCACAAGCGGCGGAGCAUGCGGAUUAAUUCGAUGCAACGCGAAGAACCUUACCUGGGUUUGACAUGCACGGAAAUCCUCCAGAGAUGGGGGGGUCCUUCGGGUCGUGCACAGGUGGUGCAUGGCUGUCGU
rnacentral:rRNA from 1 species